rnacentral:misc_RNA from 1 species
AUAAAGCCCAAGACCUUACAAAGAGAAUCCCUAAGAAUAUAAUGCGUGCAAUAUUUGAUCUCACAACUCCAACAAGCAGGAAGAUGGGUAAUGUUGACGUUGAAACAGCUUGAACACCAGCUACUAAAGGGGGAUCAACAACCUUAAGAAAACACACAAGAAGGAGAGCCUCAUCGAAUCAGAAGCAAGAACGCCUCGACUGACAUCAAGUAGAACUCCCCCGAGACAUCAACCCCAGGAGAACCAGAUGAGAUAGGCUAGGCAUCAAGAGAUUGACAAACAAGUGGGCCAGAAACCAAGGGGAAAGCUGGAGAAUCGAGAAAGUCAUGGUGGUAGAGCUUAAGUGUCUCAUUCUCCUAUAGCCUAGACGGAUCGGUGACCAACAGCAGAAUGAUACCUUCUCAUUUAUAAAGUUGCCAGCCAGCAAGGAUAGCCCCUAGAUUGUUAAAACUUCAAGCAAGCAAACCAUUUUGAAACCCACUUGCAACGGCCACAAUAUCUAAAGAGGGGUACUAAAACUCCAAACUGGAGACUAG